AGUGGGUCAGGCGUCAGAGGCGGGGGCUGGGCUUUCAGCCUCAGUGCCGUCCAGGGGGAAUGCCCAGAUGGUUCCCCCGUAUCCCACUCCUCUCUCUCUCCCCUGGCACACGUGGCGGGGGGUGGUUACUUCUCCCCAUCCUCUCAAAGCUGGGCAGGGUGCUAGCUAGCAUUAGUUCUGGCCAGUGGGUUGUGGGCAGGAGUGCUCUGUGUCACUUUCAGGCUUGAGCACUUGUCCGCUGGACCCCCCAGCUGUGCUCCUCACCGCAAUCACAGAAAUCUGGUCUAGACGAGUUUCCUCAGAUGGGUUUCUGAAUAACCUCAGUGAAAGAAACCUCCAGCCAGCUAGCUUUGGGCAUGGAGAUGCAAGAAAUGAAUCGUUAUAGUAUUAAGCCCCUGAGGGUGUGGGGGUUGUUUGUUACAACAGCACCAUCCGGCCUAACCUACUGAUAAGAGGCUCCAUCAACCAAGUUGCUCAACGUUGGGAUCCAGGGACCUAUGGCCUCAGAAUCACAUGGAGCAGCUCUGUUAAAAAAUGCAGGUUCUCAGGCUCUGCCCCAGAUACCCGGAGUCAGAAAGCCCAGGGAUGAGGCCCCCAGAUUACAGUGACUUCAUCUCCAAGGGCAGCAAGUGUACAUCCCACGCCUGGGGAGUGUUAGGGAAGCCCUCUGCUCCUGCUGGGGGCUUCGCUGGCUCAGAUGGUAAAGAGUCUGCCCGCAAUGCAGGAGACUCAGGUUCAAUCCCUGGAUCAGGAAGAUCCCCGGAAGGAAGGCAUAGCAACCCACUCCAGUAUUCUGGCCUGGAGAAUCCCCAUGGACAGAGGAGCCUGGCUGGCUACAGUCCAUGGGGUUGCAGAGUCGGACACAACUGAGCAACUAACCCCUCUGUUCCCACCACCUCAUUUGCUUCCUCUGGGUCUGAAGCAGGUGUGCUCUCUGGUCGGGGCUGGGUUCUCCAGGUACUACCAGGCUCAAGGCCUGAGAGGUCCCUGCCCUGGGCUUCCUGCCGCCUCUCUCCUCCCACCUGGCAGCGAAGCAACUCCCCUGGGCCAGGCGCUGGGGGAAGGGCUCACAGAGGGAGAGCGAUAGAAACCCUCCGUGAUGGAUUGAAGGAGACGAGACCAUUCCCGGCUGGCGGAGGAGUUGCGGCUGCAGUGACAGGUGGCGAUGUUUGUGCUCUGAACCUGCAAUCUCAGCUAAUGGGAGAGAUUGAGGAGUUUGGAAUGAGACACGGCGUGGGCCACAGCCCCACGGGCCAAGAUGCUGCUGGCAUAGGCCGCGUGGCUUCGUGGGGUUCCUGAAGGAGGGAGUGGGUGCCACAUUCCUGGGCAGGGGAGAGAAUGUCUUUGGCUGCCUAUGAGUGUCAGGAGGACCAAGCUGGAGCAGCAGCAACCACUGAAAAUCCAGCUUCUUGAACCUCUUGCGACCACUGUAAAGAAUGUAGUAUGAGCCAGCGCUGAAGAUGUGAACUACCUCAGGAGGAGUAUUUUAUCACUGCUGCUGCUGCUAAGUCACUUCAGUCGUGUCUGACUCUGUGCGAUCCCACAGACAGCAGCCCACCAGGCUCCCCCAUCCCUGGGAUUCUCCAGGCAAGAACACUGGAGUGGGUUGCCAUUUCCUUCUCCAAUGCAUGAAAGUGAAAACGUGAAAGUGAAGUCACUCAGUCGUGUCCGACUCUUAGCGACCCCACAGACUGCAGCCUACCAGGCUCCUCCGCCCAUGGGAUUUUCCAGGCAAGAGUAUUGGAGUGGGUUGCCAUUGCCUUCUCUGAUUUUAUCACUGGUAUAGUUUAAAAUCACUAGAGCAUGUUAAUAAUAAAAAGCAGGCUGACUU
ensembl:lncRNA